GCAGUCGAGCGAGCUGAAUUCAAGAUCCCUUCGGGGUGAUUUGUUGGACGCUAGCGGCGGAUGGGUGAGUAACACGUGGGCAAUCUGCCCUAAAGACUGGGAUACCACUUGGAAACAGGUGCUAAUACCGGAUAACAACAUGAAUCGCAUGAUUCAAGUUUGAAAGGCGGCGCAAGCUGUCACUUUAGGAUGAGCCCGCGGCGCAUUAGCUAGUUGGUGGGGUAAAGGCCUACCAAGGCAAUGAUGCGUAGCCGAGUUGAGAGACUGAUCGGCCACAUUGGGACUGAGACACGGCCCAAACUCCUACGGGAGGCAGCAGUAGGGAAUCUUCCACAAUGGACGCAAGUCUGAUGGAGCAACGCCGCGUGAGUGAAGAAGGUCUUCGGAUCGUAAAGCUCUGUUGUUGGUGAAGAAGGAUAGAGGCAGUAACUGGUCUUUAUUUGACGGUAAUCAACCAGAAAGUCACGGCUAACUACGUGCCAGCAGCCGCGGUAAUACGUAGGUGGCAAGCGUUGUCCGGAUUUAUUGGGCGUAAAGCGAGCGCAGGCGGAAUGAUAAGUCUGAUGUGAAAGCCCACGGCUCAACCGUGGAACUGCAUCGGAAACUGUCAUUCUUGAGUGCAGAAGAGGAGAGUGGAACUCCU
rnacentral:rRNA from 1 species